AUAUCGAUAAGCGGAGGAAAAGAAACCAACAGGGAUUGCCUUAGUAACGGCGAGUGAAGCGGCAGAAGCUCAGAUUUGAAAUCUGGUGUCAUAUUGACAUCCGAGUUGUAAUCUGUAGAGGAGUAUUUUUGAGUAUUACUUUGGUUAAAGUUCCUUGGAAAAGGACAUCAUAGAGGGUGAGAAUCCUGUUUAUGACCUUAGUACUUCUCCAUCAUAAAUCUCCUUCAAUGAGUCGAGUUGUUUGGGAAUGCAGCUCUAAAUGGGUGGUAAAUGCCAUCUAAAGCUAAAUAUUGGCGAGAGACCGAUAGCAAACAAGUACCGUGAGGGAAAGAUGAAAAGCACUUUGGAAAGAGAGUGAAACAGUAC
rnacentral:rRNA from 1 species